GAAUUAAUUAGUUUUUGUUCCCCCUUUCUAACAGCCUUUUAGGCGGCAGCGGCUCCUCAGGGUGCUCAGCUACCUCCCAUCUAGGCCGGCCCCGGCCCGUCUCGCCCCCAGGAACUCACUGUUCGGGGCUGCGGAUUUUCUUGUCGUGCCUCACAAACGUUAAGCUUAGAGACCUGGGGGGCCGGAAGUACCGCCUCGAGAUCCCCAAAUACUAUCGGGAAAAUGGAAGUGGCCGUCGGUGGCAGAGAGCUGUCGGCCAUGGAGCCAAAUGAUAGUCCGAGUACCACUGUGGAGGAGCCUGAUAGCUUGGAGGUGCUGGUGAAGACCCUGGACUCUCAAACUCGGACCUUCAUUGUGGGGGCCCAGGUGAAUGUAAAAGAGUUUAAGGAGCACAUUGCUGCCUCUGUCAGUGUCCCAUCUGAGAAACAGCGGCUCAUCUACCAGGGCCGAGUUCUGCAAGAUAAGAAGCUCCAGGAAUAUAAUGUUGGGGGAAAGUUAUCCACCUGGUGGAACGGGCGCCUCCUCAAACUCAGCUCCCUUCUGGGGCGUCUUCUGGGACAGGGUCUGCUUCAGCCACCCAUGGUGGGGGACCCUCACCUGGUACUCGGGGGCCUGGGGCCUCUGUUCACGACCGAAAUGCCAACAGCUAUGUCAUGGUUGGAACCUUCAAUCUUCCUAGUGACGGCUCUGCUGUGGAUGUUCACAUCAACAUGGAACAGGCCCCGAUUCAGAGUGAGCCCCGGGUACAGCUGGUGACGGCUCAGCACAUGAUCGGAGAUAUACAGACCUUACUAUCCCGGAUGGAGUGUCCAGGGGGUCCCCAAGUGCACCACAGUCAGCUACCCCCACAGACGCCGACUGUGGCCCCAGAGCCAGUAGCCUUGAGCUCUCAAACAUCAGAACCAGUGGAAAAUGAAGUGCCUCCUCGGGAGCCCAUGGAGGCAGAAGGAGGGGAAGAGCGCACCCCAGCGCAGAGCCCGGAGCUCACCCCUUCUGGCUCAGCCCCAGCAGGCCCAGCACCUGCCUCAGAGACAAAUGCACCCAACCAUCCUUCCCCUGUGGAGUAUGUCAAAGUGCUCCAAGAGCUGCAGCGGCUGGAGAGCCAUCUCCAGCCCUUCUUGCAGCACUACUAUGAGGUUCUGGACACUGCUGCCACCACGGACUACAACAACAAUCAUGAGGGCAGGGAGGAGGAUCAGCGGCUGAUCAACUUGGUGGGGGAGAAACACUGCAUGUGGUCCGGCCCGUGUCUCACUACACCACCCCCACGGUGCUCCAGCAGGCAGCCAUUCCCAUCCAGGUCAAUGUGGGGACCACUGUGACUAUGACAGGGAAUGGGACUCGGCCUCCCCCCCCAAUCCCAAUGCGGAGGCACCUCCCCCUGGUCCUGGGCAGGCCUCGUCCUUGGCUCCGUCUUCUACCACUGUCGAGUCCUCAAAUGAGGGGGCUCCCCGACCAGGGCCAGCUCCCCCGCCAGCCACCAGUCACCCAAGGAUCAUCCGGAUUUCCCAUCAAAGUGUGGAACCCGUGGUCAUGAUGCACAUGAACAUUCAAGAUUCUGGCACACAGCCCGGUGGUGUUCCGAGUGCUCCCUCUGGCCCCCUAGGACCCCUGGUCAUGGCCAGAUCCUGGGACAGCAAGUGCCAGGCUUCCCGACAGCUCCAACCCGAGUGGUGCUUGCCCGGCCCACCCCUCCACAGGCUCGGCCUUCCCAUCCUGGGGGCCCCCCAGUCUCUGGGGCUCUGCAGGGCACUGGGCUGGGCACCAAUGCCUCGCUGGCCCAGAUGGUGAGCGGCCUUGUGGGGCAGCUCCUUAUGCAGCCUGUCCUCGUGGCUCAGGAGACCCCAGGAAUGGCUCCACCUCCAGCCCCUGCCACUGCUUCAGCCAGUGCUGGCACCACCAACACAGCCACCAUAGCUGGCCCUGCCCCAGGGGGACCUGCUCAGCCUCCACCCCCUCAACCUUCCACAGCUGAUCUUCAGUUCUCUCAGCUCCUGGGGAACCUACUGGGGCCUGUAGGGCCAGGGGCUGGAGGGCCUGGCGUGCCUUCUCCCACCAUCCCUGUGGCAAUGCCUGGUGUCCCUGCCUUUCUCCAGGGCAUGACUGACUUCUUGCAGGCAACACAGACAGCCCCCCCCCCAGAGCAGCAGACCAUGCCCCCACCAGGGUCCCCUUCCGGAGGUGCAGGGAGUCCUGGAGGCCUAGGCCUUGAGAGCCUGCCACCGGAGUUUUACACCUCAGUGGUGCAGGGUGUGCUCAGCUCCCUGCUGGGUUCCCUGGGGGCUCGGGCUGGCAGCAGUGAAAGUAUCGCUGCCUUCGUACAGCGCCUCAGUGGAUCCAGCAACAUCUUUGAGCCUGGAGCUGAUGGGGCUCUCGGAUUCUUUGGGGCCCUGCUCUCUCUUCUGUGCCAGAACUUCUCCAUGGUGGAUGCAGUGAGGCUUCUCCAAGGGCAUUUCCAGCCACUGCAGCGGCUUCAGCCCCAGCUACGAUCCUUCUUCCACCAGCACUAUCUGGGUGGUCAGGAGCCCACACCCAGUAACAUCCGGAUGGCAACCCACACAUUGAUCACGGGUCUGGAAGAAUAUGUGUGGGAAAGUUUUUCUUUGGGGCAGGUUCAGCCAGAUGUGGACAACAUCCGGACAAAUCUGGAAUUUCUCCAAGAGCAAUUUAAUAGCAUCGCUGCUCAUGUGUUGCACUGCACAGACAGUGGAUUUGGGGCCCGGUUGCUGGAGUUGUGUAACCAGGAACUGUUUGAAUGUCUGGCCCUGAACCUGCACUGCUUGGGGGGACAGCAGAUGGAGCUUGCUGCUGUUAUCAAUGGCCGGAUUCGUCACAUGUCUCGUGGGCUGAAUCCCUCCUUGGUGAGCUGGCUGACCACUAUGAUGGGACUGAGGCUUCAGGUGGUGCUGGAGCACAUGCCUGUAGGCCCUGAUGCCAUCCUCAGAUACGUUCGCAGGGUUGGGGAACCCCCAGCCACUUCCUGAGGAACCAAUGGAAGUUCAGGGAGCAGAAAGAACUUCCCCUGAGCCUCAGCGGGAGAAUGCUUCCCCAGCCCCCGAACAACAGCAGAAGAGGCCACGUCCCGAGGUCCCCCUCCGCCUCCUGAGGGAGGCUCCCGAGAUGAUCAGGAUGGAGCUUCAGCUGAGACAGAACCUUGGGCAGCUGCAGUUCCCCCAGGAUGGGUCCCUAUUAUCCAGCAGGACAUUCAGAGCCAGCGGAAGGUGAAACCACAGCCCCUUUGAGCGAUGCCUGCCUCAGUGGUAUGCCUGCCCAAAGACGCAAGACGAUGCAGGGUGAGGGCCCCGGCUGCUCCUCUCAGAGGCCGUGAGCCGGGCAGCUAAGGCAGCCGGAGCUCCGCCCCUGACAAGCCCGGAGAGCCUGAGCCGGGAGCUGGAGGCACCAGAGGUUCAGGAGAGCUACAGGCAGCAGCUCCGGUCUGAUAUACAAAAACGACUGCAGGAAGACCCCAACUAUAGCCCCCAGCGCUUCCCUAAUGCCCACCGGGCCUUUGCUGAUGAUCCCUAGCUCUUUGCUGUAACAGGGGACCAUUUCCCCCCUCUUCCUUCACAGUAUUUAAGAAAUAAAAGUCAGCCUGUAAUCCUAGCUC